rnacentral:misc_RNA from 1 species
UCUCCGUAGGUGAACCUGCGGAGGGAUCAUUACUGAGUGAGGGCCCCCGGCCCGACCUCCAACCCUUUGUGUAUCUCGACCCUGUUGCCUCGGGGGCGACCCGGCCCUUCUGGGCGACGGGGCCCCCGGUGGACCUAUCAACUCUUGCAUCUGUGCGUCUGAGUAACAUAUUGAAUCAAUCAAAACUUUCAACAACGGAUCUCUUGGUUCUGGCAUCGAUGAAGAACGCAGC